UACGUAGGGGGCAAGCGUUGUCCGGAUUUAUUGGGCGUAAAGAGCGUGUAGGCGGCUAGGUAGGUCCGUUGUGAAAACUCGAGGCUCAACCUCGAGACGUCGAUGGAAACCAUCUAGCUAGAGUCCGGAAGAGGAGAGUGGAAUUCCUGGUGUAGCAGUGAAAUGCGUAGAUAUCGUGAGGAAUACCAGAGGCGAAGGCGGCUACCUGGACAAUUGCUGACGCUCAUGCACGAAAGCGUGGGGAGCAAACAGG
rnacentral:rRNA from 1 species